rnacentral:rRNA from 1 species
UACGUAGGGUGCGAGCGUUGUCCGGAAUUACUGGGCGUAAAGAGCUCGUAGGUGGUUUGUCGCGUUGUUCGUGAAAACCGGGGGCUUAACCCUCGGCGUGCGGGCGAUACGGGCAGACUUGAGUACUGCAGGGGAGACUGGAAUUCCUGGUGUAGCGGUGGAAUGCGCAGAUAUCAGGAGGAACACCGGUGGCGAAGGCGGUUCUCUGGGCCUUACCUGACGCUGAGGAGCGAAAGCGUGGGGAGCAAACAGG